UACGUAGGUGGCAAGCGUUGUCCGGAUUUAUUGGGCGUAAAGGGCGCGCAGGUGGUGUGCUAAGUCUGCCGUGAAAUCUCCCGGCUCAACUGGGAGGCUGCGGUGGAGACUGGUGCGCUUGAGGUACCUAGAGGUCGGUGGAAUUCCCGGUGUAGUGGGUGAAAUGCGUAGAGAUCGGGAGGAACACCAGUGGCGAAGGCGGCCGGCUGGGGGUGACCUGACGCUGA
rnacentral:rRNA from 1 species